rnacentral:rRNA from 1 species
UACCAGACUCCUACGGGAGGCAGCAGUGGGGGAUAUUGCACAAUGGGGGGAACCCUGAUGCAGCGACGCCGCGUGGGUGAAGAAGUAUUUCGGUAUGUAAAGCCCUAUCGGCAGGGAAGAAAUUGGACGGUACCUGACUAAGAAGCCCCGGCUAACUACGUGCCAGCAGCCGCGGUAAUACGUAGGGGGCAAGCGUUAUCCGGAAUUACUGGGUGUAAAGGGAGCGUAGACGGUGAUGCAAGUCUGGAGUGAAAGGCGGGGGCCCAACCCCCGGACUGCUCUGGAAACUGUAUGACUUGAGUGCAGGAGAGGUAAGCGGAAUUCCUAGUGUAGCGGUGAAAUGCGUAGAUAUUAGGAGGAACACCAGUGGCGAAGGCGGCUUACUGGACUGUAACUGACGUUGAGGCUCGAAAGCGUGGGGAGCAAACAGGAUUAGAUACCCCCGUA